rnacentral:lncRNA from 10 species
UGAUCCGCCCGCCUCGGCCUCCCAAAGUGCUGGGAUUACAGGCGUGAGCCACCGCGCCCAGCCAGGACUAGGAAAUUCUUAUGGUGUUCAUGGGCGGGGUGAUGCCAGGGAAGAGAAGAGUAAGUGGGAAAUGGGAUGGAGUUGCUUCAAGGAGAUGCGACCACAUUCCUUUGACUCCACCUAAGCGAAGCAGAUCAACCCCAUUCAUAUAAAAUCCUGAACCUGAAACUCUGAGUAGUUGGAGUGCUGGUGGAGUGGGAGCAGACUGAAGACUGCCUUUCAGGACACCACCUUAUUCUCUACACUGGUUUGCCACUCACGACCCUUUGACAGGGAGGCAUUACCUUGUUAGAGGAAGACAGAUGCAAGGAGACUCUCCCGGACUGUUGGCCGCUGACCCUUGGCAUGACAGUAACCAGAAUGCUUUCCCACUUCCUGCCUUCAACUGUUCUUGCUAUGCCACCCCACCCUCUGCCGCAGGACACUCACUCAUCACCACCGGGAGCUGCCGAUGGAUUGCUCCAUGCCCUCCAGCACUGGGUACUCAUUCUUUGUCACACACUGCUUCCUGGACUUGCCCUAUAAAGCAAGAUAAUGCUCCUGCGGAGAGGAGAAAGAGCUCAAAGUGAUUGUUGUAAGGGAAUGCAGAGGAAGCCUCCUAUUGACUCCUCCAUUCUCAUGUUUAUGGACCACCUUCCGGUCUCACAUACGGCCAUUUCUUUCCAUUGAGGACAGAGACACUGGGAAAACACUCCUGGAGAAACUGCAGAGUAGGGGCACAUCUCAUAAAAAUCUACCUUGUGUCCAGGAUGAGACUGUAUUUCCUCCACGCGCCUCAACCUAAUUUCCUGUGGAUUUCAGAUCAUCUUUUAUUUCCAAUUAUGCUGCUGUUCACAUUAUCGAUUUGGAGGAUACAAAUGUUGAAUGACAAGAGAGGGAGAAGAAGGAGGGGGGAGGAGAAUUCCAUUUUGCCUGAAGGAUAAGAUACUCGAAAUGCCACCCGCACAGCCUCUCUGAAGCGUUCAUCAACGUGGCAGAGGCUGGCUCAAUUAUCUUUGUGUCAGAUGAUUAUCUGAGAGCUUAAUUUAAUCUCCAUUAUCCUCCCCCGUCAUAUUUCAAUUAAAUCUGCUAUCAGAGUGUUAACACAUCUUUGAACCUGCUAUUUCUUCAGUUAAUUUUCCACUAAGAGGUGCUGGAGAGUAACAGAUGUCAUAAUUAUGCAAUUAUUAAGUGUAUUUGACACUCGUUCUCUCAGGAUUUUGUGGUUAGGGUAGGAGGGUUGGAAAAUUAAUCUGAUGACAAUAUGCUUCCGUUGUGAUCCGUAACACCACUGCAGGCUGGGGGACUGUCCUCCCGCUGUUUCCGAGGCUGCCGCCAAGGAAGAUAAAGGAUUAACUGAUUAUAAAAUAAUCAAAUGAGAUUAUGGAUGCAAGAGUCCAGCUACUGCAGUUCGUGCUUUACAAAGGAAA